GACGAACGCUGGCGGCGUGCUUAACACAUGCAAGUCGAACGGCAAGGCACUGCUUUCGUGGGGUGCCCGAGUGGCGAACGGGUGAGUAACACGUGAGUAACCUGCUCUUGUCUUUCGGAUAACUUAAGGAAACUGGGGCUAAUAUCGGAUAGGAGCUCCUGCAGCAUGGAGGGGGUUGGAAAGUUUCGGCGGUCGGGGAUGGACUCGCGGCUUAUCAGCUUGUUGGUGGGGUAGUGGCUUACCCAGGCUUUGACGGGUAGCCGGCCUGAGAGGGUGACCGGCCACAAGGGGACUGAGAUACGGCCCAGACUCCAACGGGAGGCAGCAGGGGGGAAUAUUGCACAGUGGGCGGAAGCCUGAUGCAGCAACGCCGCGUGCGGGAUGACGUCCUGCGGGUUGUAAACCGCUGUCGCCUAUGACGAAGCGUGAGUGACGGUAAUGGGUAAAGAAGCACCGGCUAACUACGUG
rnacentral:rRNA from 1 species